rnacentral:tRNA from 1 species
UUCAACUUGGCAGAUUAAGUGCAAUAAAUUUAGAAUUUAUUUAUGAAAUAAUUCAGUUGAAA